rnacentral:rRNA from 1 species
CCUACGGGUGGCAGCAGUGGGGAAUAUUGCGCAAUGGGCGAAAGCCUGACGCAGCGACGCCGCGUGUGGGAUGAAGGUCUUCGGAUCGUAAACCUCUGUCAGCAGGGAAGAACGGUCACUGUGCUAAUCAGCAGUGAAUUGACGGUACCUGCAAAGGAAGCACCGGCUAACUCCGUGCCAGCAGCCGCGGUAAUACGGAGGGUGCGAGCGUUAAUCGGAAUUACUGGGCGUAAAGCGCUCGUAGGCGGUAUGUCAAGUCAAGGGUGAAAUCCCCGGGCUCAACGUGGGAACUGCCUUUGAUACUGGCAAGCUGGAGUGUGGGAGAGGAUAGUAGAAUUCCAGGUGUAGGAGUGAAAUCCGUGGAGAUCUGGAGGAACAUCAGUGGCGAAGGCGACUAUCUGGCACAUAACUGACGCUGAGGUGCGAAAGCGUGGGUAGCAAACAGGAUUAGAUACCCCGGUAGUC